GACGAACGCUGGCGGCGUGCCUAAUACAUGCAAGUCGAGCGAGACUCUUCGGAGUCUAGCGGCGGACGGGUGAGUAACACGUGGGCAACCUGCCUGUAAGACUGGGAUAAAACCGGGAAACCGGUGCUAAUACCGGAUAAUCCUUUUCCUCUCAUGAGGAAAAGCUGAAAGUCGGUUUCGGCUGACACUUACAGAUGGGCCCGCGGCGCAUUAGCUAGUUGGUGAGGUAACGGCUCACCAAGGCGACGAUGCGUAGCCGACCUGAGAGGGUGAUCGGCCACACUGGGACUGAGACACGGCCCAGACUCCUACGGGAGGCAGCAGUAGGGAAUCUUCCACAAUGGACGAAAGUCUGAUGGAGCAACGCCGCGUGAGCGAUGAAGGCCUUCGGGUCGUAAAGCUCUGUUGUUAGGGAAGAACAAGUACCGGAGUAACUGCCGGUACCUUGACGGUACCUAACCAGAAAGCCACAGCUAACUACGUGCCAGCCGCCGCAGUAAUAC
rnacentral:rRNA from 1 species